GCACUACUGGACCAGAAGGAACGGGGUUAUUCAGCUUGACAAGGCGACUCCCAGGUGAUUUCACAGUGAUUGUAUCAAUCUCCACUGGCACCAGCACUGGUAGCUCUUGCGUCUCCCAUUCUCCAAUCCUUGACAUAGUUAGACUUCUUACUUUUGGCUAGUUUACCAAGAAUAAAUAGGUACUGUGUUAUGCCCUUAAUUUACAUUCCCUAAUUACUGAUAAAGGUUGACGUGUUGCUCUUUCAUUCAUGUGUCCUCUUCCUUAUCUAAGCAUUUUUGUUUUGUUUUGUUUUGAGACAGGGUCUCCCUGUACGAGCGUUGAACUCACUAUGUAGCCUAAGCUGGCCUGGAACUCACAGCAGUCUUCCUGCCUCAGCCUCCCCAGUGCUGGUACUACAGAAGCUGUGACUCUGCCUUUUGCAUUCAGAUUCCUGUUACUUUGGAGAAGGCGUCAAUCGUAAUGUGUGGGAUGAUUCAGGACCUUGUGCUUGCGAGGCAGGCGGUGGAACCACUGAGCUAAAUCCCCAGCCCCCUACCUACUUUCAACUCUAACUCCAUCUGCUGAAGCCAAUAGAAGCAGGCUCCAGACUGAGGACAGGAGGACUUGAUUUGGAGAAGACAAUGCUCAGCAGCUUACUACACAUACAAGGAAAUGAAGGAAUCAUUUAAAGUUAAGCAGAGCUUUCUGAGAUGCCUUGGGGAAGAGAGUCAAGAUAGAGGAGUAUUUCGAGAAAGUGAAGGUGUGCAGAAGAAAAGGUGAAACAGGCUGAAGGUGGAGCAUGGGGGUAGAGAGAGGACACCUGCUGAGGGAUCAGGAGGCAGGGACCAGAAGAAAAAGGAAAAGAACCGGAAGGAAUGUACGCAUAAGACCCACAAUAAAUGGACUACAUUGAAAAGAAGCAGAUCAGAUAAAACUGUGUGUACUUACAGCAACGAGUUAAAAGGCAGACUUUGGAGCUGGGGAUGUGGCUCAGCAGUGCAGUGCUUGCCCAAAAUGCAUGAGAUCCUGGGUUUGAUCCCCAGCACAGUAAGAACAAAGCAAAAAAGGGAAACUUGAAUGCUAUAUGUAACUUUCUUUACUUAGGCCACAGAAUUUAGUUACUGGUGUCUCCAUCAACUCUUAUUUCAGAACAGGAAAUUGAGUGUGCGUGAAGUGUGUUCCCCUGUGAGGAAAUUUGAAGUGGAAUAGAGCCCACAGCCUUGAGGGGGCCUCAGCACAGUGUCCGUACCCUCAGAUCAUCCACGACUCCACAAGGUGCCGGGUGGCAGUGGAGUGUGAGAGGGAAGCACAAGGGACUCACCCUGGGGCAGGACAGUUCCAAAAAUGGUGGCAGCAGAGUGACAUAAGCAUUGUAGCUACAUAGCCUUCCUCUUCUGUUCUUAAGCCUUUUAAAAAACAAGGCUUGAGUGGUCGCUUUCGGUAUUUUAAUAGACAAAUGAUACAGGGAAUUAAAAAUGGAGAAUUAAAAUGAAAAGUGUUGAGAAGUAUACUAUUGUGUUUGUGUGCAUGUGUGUGUGCACGUGCACACACCCAGGCUGGGGUUCAAACCCAAGGCCUUGUGCACCUAUGCCAGAGCUCCACCUUCGAGCUA
ensembl:lncRNA